UAGGGAAUCUUCGGCAAUGGACGAAAGUCUGACCGAGCAACGCCGCGUGAGUGAAGAAGGUUUUCGGAUCGUAAAACUCUGUUGUUAGAGAAGAACAAGGACGUUAGUAACUGAACGUCCCCUGACGGUAUCUAACCAGAAAGCCACGGCUAACUACGUGCCAGCAGCCGCGGUAAUACGUAGGUGGCAAGCGUUGCCCGGAUUUAUUGGGCGUAAAGCGAGCGCAGGCGGUUUCUUAAGUCUGAUGUGAAAGCCCCCGGCUCAACCGGGGAGGGUCAUUGGAAACUGGGAGACUUGAGUGCAGAAGAGGAGAGUGGAAUUCCAUGUGUAGCGGUGAAAUGCGUAGAUAUAUGGAGGAACACCAGUGGCGAAGGCGGCUCUCUGGUCUGUAACUGACGCUGAGGCUCGAAAGCGUGGGGAGCAAACAG
rnacentral:rRNA from 1 species